rnacentral:tRNA from 1 species
UCCCAGGUGGCUCUGUGGUAGAGAAUCUGCCUGAUAAUGUAGGAGCUGCAGGAGACACAGGUUCAAUCCCUGGGCUGGGAA